UGUAUAGGUGGACAGAAUAAAAUCAAAUUACAGAUGAUGAAUCAAAUAAAAAUAAGAUGAAAAAUAGUAUUUGAUAUUAUUAGGACCAUCUUUUGUACUCUUUACAUGAGAACAUUCUUUAAGGAGGCACUUUCAAAUGAAGAUAACCUCUGAAGGAUGAUUGGAGGAAGCCUUGCUCUCAGUCCACUGAAAAGUACAAAACUGGGAAACUUGUCACUCCCAAAGAAGAAGGCCAGGACAUGGGGAAGAAGUAGCAGGAAUGACAGGGCAGAGGGAGAAAAAG
rnacentral:lncRNA from 1 species